rnacentral:tRNA from 1 species
AGCGGUGUAGCUCAGUGGUAGAGCAUGUGCUUAGCAUGCACGAGGUCCUGGGUUCAAUCCCCGGUGCCUCCA